rnacentral:rRNA from 1 species
AGGCCUAACACAUGCAAGUCGAGCGGUAACAGGACUAGCUUGCUAGUUGCUGACGAGCGGCGGACGGGUGCGUAACACGUAGGAAUCUGCCCGGUAGUGGGGGAUAGCCCGGAGAAAUCCGGAUUAAUACCGCAUACGCCUUACGAGGGAAAGGAGGGGCCUCUUCGGAGCCUUUCGCUAUCGGAUGAGCCUGCGUCGGAUUAGCUAGUUGGUGGGGUAAAGGCCUACCAAGGCGACGAUCCGUAGCUGGUCUGAGAGGAUGAUCAGCCACACUGGGACUGAGACACGGCCCAGACUCCUACGGGAGGCAGCAGUGGGGAAUAUUGCACAAUGGGGGAAACCCUGAUGCAGCCAUGCCGCGUGUGUGAAGAAGGCUCUAGGGUUGUAAAGCACUUUCAGCGAGGAGGAAAGGUUGCUGGUUAAUACCCAGCGGCUGUGACGUUACUCGCAGAAGAAGCACCG